UCCCUGGCGAUCCAGUGGUUAGGAUUCUGCACUUACACUGCAGAGGGCCCAGGUUCAGUCCCUGGUCAGGGAA